UUCUACUCUUUUUGAUACAAGCCAUUCUGACUGCUGUAAAGUGAAAUUUCAUUGUGGUUCUUAAUUUGUAUUUCCCUGAUG